CCUACGGGUGGCAGCAGUGAGGAAUAUUGGUCAAUGGGCGAGAGCCUGAACCAGCCAAGUCGCGUGAGGGAAGACGGUCCUAUGGAUUGUAAACCUCUUUUGCCGGGGAGCAAAAAGCGGUACGUGUACCGCAUCGCGAGUACCCGGACGAACAGCAUCGGCUAACUACGUGACAGCAGCCGCGGUAAUACGGAGGAUUCGAGCGUUAUCCGGAUUUAUUGGGUUUAAAGGGUGCGUAGGCUGUCGGAUAAGUUGGAGGUCAAAUGUAGGGGCUUAACCCCGUGACUGCCUCUGAUACUGUUCGACGAGAGAGCGGAUGCAGCAGGCGGAAUGAGUAGUGUAGCGGUGAAAUGCUUAGAUAUUA
rnacentral:rRNA from 1 species